rnacentral:rRNA from 1 species
AGAACGAACGCUGGCGGCAUGCCUAACACAUGCAAGUCGAACGGACGUCUUCGGACGUUAGUGGCGCACGGGUGCGUAACGCGUGGGAAUCUGCCCUUAGGUUCGGAAUAACAGUUAGAAAUGACUGCUAAUACCGGAUAAUGACGUAAGUCCAAAGAUUUAUCGCCUAGGGAUGAGCCCGCGUAGGAUUAGCUUGUUGGUGAGGUAAAAGCUCACCAAGGCGACGAUCCUUAGCUGGUCUGAGAGGAUGAUCAGCCACACUGGGACUGAGACACGGCCCAGACUCCUACGGGAGGCAGCAGUGGGAAUAUUGGACAAUGGGCGAAAGCCUGAUCCAGCAAUGCCGCGUGAGUGAUGAAGGCCUUAGGGUUGUAAAGCUCUUUUGCCAGGGAUGAUAAUGACAGUACCUGGAGAAUAAGCUCCGGCUAACUCCGUGCCAGCAGCCAC